rnacentral:tRNA from 1 species
GACCCGUUAGCUCAGUUGGUAGAGCAUCUGCCUUACAAGCAGAGGGUCAGCGGUUCGAGCCCGUUAACCUCCACCA